ACAUCUCCAUCUCUUCCCCUUCUUUGUGCUAUUCAAUCAAGAAAGCCAAAAUGGCCACAAAUUCUUCAUCUUCUUCACCCAUUUCUCUUGGAAGCUAGAACCCACUAACUAUUUCUUAACCUUGAAGCUUGGGAAGUUUAGAAACUUAUCUUCCUUUUGAAUCUUUCUUGGAGGUGCCACUUUGGUGGGUGAAAGAGGGGGCUUCUCUUGUUGAAAAUUUGGACAACCUUGCUUGUUCUUCCCUCCCUGAGUGAUAGAGGAGUGUUGAGAUUGAUAGUGGUUUGGUGAGGAACAACCGUUGGACCCAUUAUUGGAUUAGGACCUUGGUUCUUGAAACUUCAAGAAUAGGGUAAGUACCCUAGUUUUAUGUUCUUGAAGAUAUUCUAACUGAUGGCAGGUUAUUUAUGAAUUAUAUCUAUUAUUCAUUGAAUCCACACCCUUUGAAUAUGGUGUGGAAGUGUGUGACAUUGGCUUCUUGGACAAAAAGAAAGUGUUGGAGGCCAUUGCUUCAAGAGGUAAACUCUUUGAGCUUUGGAUUAAUCCCACUUAAUGUUACACCACACUUCUAGGGAGUGUUUGUUAAUUACUUAAAUGAUUGGUUGAUUGUUAGAAGUAUGGUAUAGGUGCAUUCAUAAAUAGUUGUUAUUCAUUGUGGAUGAACCAAUAAACAAGCAUUAGGGGCUAGAUUGUAUGAUUAGUGGACGAACUAAUAUACAAUUGAAUGUUUAAUGUGAUGAAUUGGUUGCUUAGUUCUUUGACCAAUUGAACUUAUGUAUGGACUUCCCUUGGGAAUUUAUCCUAAGAGAAUUGACUCUUAAAAGUUCCAUACGGACACUCACUUUGAGAGGCGGUUCAUUAGAGUGAACCUAGUGUAUGGGGUGCACAAAUUCAAUCAAUUCUAUUUUGCCUCUAUGUAUAUAUUGUUAUUAUGCCAUGUGUUUCUAACCCUUCAUGCAAGAAAGUAAACUCAAGGGUGGAGUGAUCCUCCAAAGACCUUGAGUUUACUGAAAUUCACAUCUUACCCCGUUUGGGGGCAUAUGUUUUAGGAUGUCAAGGAGGAGCUAGUUCUACUAAAGGAAAGGAGUAUCCAUAGCACUUUUUGGUGUAUAUAUAGUGAUAUCAUGUAUUUUGGAGAGUACACUAGCAAAAUCAUAUUUUGAUAGAAAUUGUAAUCUUUUGGUUAAUGACUUGUAAGAUGACAUGUAUAUUUAGAUUCAAGUUCUGUGCUAUGGUUUGUAAUUCGAGUGAUUAAGUAACAUGUAUAUGAUAUGUAUGACAUA